UGGAAUCUAAUGUUUUCAUUAGAUUUGAGUAUUAAAUAUAAGGGUGAAUUCCUGUAAAUACACUACUUGAUUUUUUUAAGAGCUCUUAAAUGAGAGCCAGAAGUAAUGGAAGAGAUGUGGCUCCACUUUUAAUCAGAAGUUAUUUAAGAAAAACUAGCAAUUCUGAAAAGUAAAGAUAGUAGUUCUCAACAUGGUUGAUUGACAGUACAAAAUGGGGACAAAAAUUUUUUCUUAAAGCUUAGCUGUAGUGGUAACCUCAUGCCAGCACAUCCUAACCCUUUAAAAUCACAUGAGCUCUUGAUGGUUGAGCACCAGGGAAAACCCAAGACCAUCGUGUGUAAACCCAGUGCUCUGUAUGUAUGUAAGAGUGCUGAAGUCAGAGAGGAGCUUGUCAGGUAAAAUACAUUUGUGUUGUCUUAUUAGACCUGCUGACAUUGAAAACUGGAGGAGGAAAAUAAAAAAAAAUCCCCGUGGACUGAGAACUUUGACUAGGAUAAAUCAAGCUCAACAAGGCAGUAUAGUCUGGUCAAAGGUAGAUUCUAAAAUGCCUCAGUGUGAUCAACUUAAGCCAGUACCAAUGCCUCUUCCGUCAACAGAUUCUUCAAAUGACUACUCCAAAUAUGGGAGAAACUGGUGA
ensembl:lncRNA